rnacentral:rRNA from 1 species
UACGGGGGGGGCAAGCGUUGUUCGGAAUUACUGGGCGUAAAGGGCUCGUAGGCGGCCAACUAAGUCCGACGUGAAAUCCCAAGGCUUAACCUUGGAACUGCGUCGGAUACUGGAUGGCUUGAAUUCGGGAGAGGGAUGCAGAAUUCCAGGUGUGAGCGGUGAAAUGCGUAGAUAUCAGGAGGAACACCUGCGGUGUAGACGGCUUACUGGACCAUAACUGACGCUGAGGCACGAAAGCGUGGGUAGCAAACGGG